rnacentral:tRNA from 1 species
GCCCGGUUAGCUCAGUCGGUAGAGCGCAAGGCUCUUAACCUUGUGGUCGUGGGUUCGAGCCUACAUUGGGCU